GAUGAACGCUGGCGGCGUGCCUAAUACAUGCAAGUCGAGCGAACAGACGAGGAGCUUGCUCCUCUGACGUUAGCGGCGGACGGGUGAGUAACACGUGGAUAACCUACCUAUAAGACUGGGAUAACUUCGGGAAACCGGAGCUAAUACCGGAUAAUAUAUUGAACCGCAUGGUUCAAUAGUGAAAGACGGUUUUGCUGUCACCUAUAGAUGGAUCCGCGCCGCAUUAGCUAGUUGGUAAGGUAACGGCUUACCAAGGCAACGAUGCGUAGCCGACCUGAGAGGGUGAUCGGCCACACUGGAACUGAGACACGGUCCAGACUCCUACGGGAGGCAGCAGUAGGGAAUCUUCCGCAAUGGGCGAAAGCCUGACGGAGCAACGCCGCGUGAGUGAUGAAGGUCUUCGGAUCGUAAAACUCUGUUAGUAGGGAAGAACAAAUGUGUAAGUAGCUAUGCACGUCUUGACGGUACCUAAUCAGAAAGCCACGGCUAACUACGUG
rnacentral:rRNA from 1 species